rnacentral:rRNA from 1 species
UGAAUACGAGACGCUAAGGCGUUGAAGUAGUGUAUGUCAUACUUCCAAGAAAAGCUUGCACUGUCAUAGAUAAAAAACGCCUGUACCAUAACCGACACAGGUGGGUAGGUAGAGUAUACUAAGGGGCGCGAGAUAACUCUCUCUAAGGAACUCGGCAAAAUAACUCCGUAACUUCGGGAGAAGGAGUGCCUUAUUUAUAAGGCUGCAAUAACAAGAUCCAAGCAACUGUUUAUCAAAAACACAGGUCUCCGCUAAGUCGUAAGACGAUGUAUGGGGGCUGACGCCUGCCCAGUGCCAGAAGGUUAAAGAAGUUGGUUAGCAAUAGCGAAGCUGAUAACUGAAGCCCUGGUGAACGGCGGCAGUAACUAUAACGGUCCUAAGGUAGCGAAAUUCCUUGUCGGGUAAGUUCCGACCCGCACGAAAGGCGUAAUGAUUUGGAUACUGUCUCGGAGAGGGGCUCGGUGAAAUAGACUUGUCUGUGAAGAUGCGGACUACCUGCACCAGGACAGAAAGACCCUAUGAAGCUUUACUGUAACUUGAAAUUGAAAUUGGACUUUAUUCGCGCAGUAUAGGUGGGAGGCGUUGAUUGUAAUCUUGCGGGAUUAUUGGAGCCAUCAGUGAGAUACCACCCUUGUAAUGUUAGAUUUCUAACUUUGAAUCAUUAUCUGGUCAAAGAACAGUUUCAGGCGGGCAGUUUGACUGGGGCGGUCGCCUCCUAAACGGUAACGGAGGCGUACAAAGGUUUCCUCUGAACGGUUAGAAAUCGUAUCUAGAGUGUAAAGGCAUAAGGAAGCUUGACUGUGAGACCUACAAGUCGAGCAGGGACGAAAGUCGGUCUUAGUGAUCUGACGGUACUGAGUGGAAAGGCCGUCACUCAACGGAUAAAAGUUACUCUAAGGAUAACAGGCUGAUCUCCCCCAAGAGUUCACAUCGACGGGGAGGUUUGGCACCUCGAUGUCGGCUCAUCGCAUCCUGGGGCGGUAGUACGUCCCAAGGGUUGGGCUGUUCGCCCAUGAAAGCGGUACGCGAGCUGGGUUCAGAACGUCGUGAGACAGUUCGGUCCAUAUCCGGUGUAGGCGUUAGAAUAUUGAGAGGAGCCUUCUUUAGUACGAGAGGACCGAGAAGGACAUACCUCUGGUGUACCAGUUAUCGUGCCAACGGUAAACGCUGGGUAGCUAUGUAUGGAGUGGAUAACCGCUGAAAGCAUCUAAGUGGGAAGCCC